GACGAACGCUGGCGGCGUGCUUAACACAUGCAAGUCGAACGGAAAGGCCCCUUUGGGGGUACUCGAGUGGCGAACGGGUGCGUAACACGUGAGUAACCUUCCCUUGACUUCGGGAUAACUUCAGGAAACUGGGGCUAAUACCGGAUAGGAAUCCUUGCUGCAUGGUGGGGGUUGGAAAGCUUCGGCGGUUUUGGAUGGACUCGCGGCUUAUCAGCUUGUUGGUGGGGUAGUGGCUUACCAAGGCUUUGACGGGUAGCCGGCCUGAGAGGGCGACCGGCCACAUUGGGACUGAGAUACGGCCCAGACUGCUACGGGAGGCAGCAGGGGGGAAUAUUGCACAAGGGGCGGAAGCCGGAUGCAGCAACGCCGCGUGCGGGAUGACGGCCUUCGGGUUGUAAACCGCUUUCAGCAGGGGCGAAGCUUGUGGUGACGGUACCUGCAGAAGAAGCACCGGCUAACUACGUG
rnacentral:rRNA from 1 species